AUUGAACGCUGGCGGCAGGCCUAACACAUGCAAGUCGAACGGUAACAGGAAGCAGCUUGCUGCUUUGCUGACGAGUGGCGGACGGGUGAGUAAUGUCUGUGAAACUUCCCGAUGGAGGGGGAUAACUACUGGAAACGGUAGCUAAUACCGCAUAACGUCGCAAGACCAAAGAGGGGGACCUUAGGGCCUCUUGCCAUCGGAUGUGCCCAGAUGGGAUUAGCUAGUAGGUGGGGUAACGGCUCACCUAGGCGACGAUCCCUAGCUGGUCUGAGAGGAUGACCAGCCACACUGGAACUGAGACACGGUCCAGACUCCUACGGGAGGCAGCAGUGGGGAAUAUUGCACAAUGGGCGCAAGCCUGAUGCAGCCAUGCCGCGUGUAUGAAGAAGGCCUUCGGGUUGUAAAGUACUUUCAGCGGGGAGGAAGGGAGUAAAGUUAAUACCUUUGCUCAUUGACGUUACCCGCAGAAGAAGCACCGGCUAACUCCGUG
rnacentral:rRNA from 1 species